CGCCUCCACUCCACCCACUCCCUCUCUGUCUCCCACUGCUCACUCCUCCUCUACCUACUCCCUCUCACAUUAUCUCUUCGUCUUCCCUCUACUCUCCCUUUCCGCCUCCCUCUCUAUCCACUCCUGGCGAUAGCCGCCACCUCGGCUAGGGCGGUAGUGGCGGCGGCAUUGGUGAGGGCGACAUUGGCGAGAGCAGCGACGACAUUGGCUAGGGUGGUGGCGGCGGGGCGGAUCCAUCGACGGCCACCACGAGGAGGGCGGAUCCAUCGCCGGCCACCGCGGGGAGGCUGGAUCCAUCGCCUGCCACCGCGGGGAGGCCGGAUCCGUCGCCUGCUACCGCGGGGAGGUUGGAUCCGUCGCUGGCGACCGCGGGGAGGCUGGAUCCGUCGCCUACCACCGCGGGGAGGCCGGAUUUGUCACCGGCGACCGUGGGGACGACGACGAUAGGCCUCGUGCAAGGCGGCGACAAUGACGGUGGUAGCGGAGAAGACGACAGUGGUGACGGCGUGACGGUGGCGAUGGCCGCUGGAUUAGGACACCUCGUUCCAGAUGGGUGGAAGAUCCGCACGUGAAAACCAAUUCCGACCGCACGGAAAAAUCGUUAUUGUACUAGCGUGAGCUAUAAGACAAUUAUAAAAUUACGUGGAGGAGAGGGAUAAAAAAUAUGAUGUGUUGAUUCUAA